GCCCAGCUAGCUCAGUUAGGAGAGCAUGAGACUCUUAAUCUCAGGGUUAUGGAUUUGAGCCCCACAUUGGGUG
rnacentral:tRNA from 1 species